UACGGGGGGGCAAGCGUUGUUCGGAAUUACUGGGCGUAAAGGCUUGUAGGUGGCCAACUAAGUCAGACGUGAAAUUCCUCGGCUUAACCGGGGAACUGCGUCUGAUACUGGAUGGCUUGAGUGUGGGAGAGGGAUGCGGAAUUCCGAGGUGUAGCGGUGAAAUGCGUGAGAUAUCUGGAGGAACACCGGUGGCGAAGGCGGCAUCCUGGACCAUUACUGACACUGAAAAGCGAAGCCAGGGAGCAAACGGG
rnacentral:rRNA from 1 species